rnacentral:rRNA from 1 species
GUGGGGAAUAUUGCGCAAUGGGCGAAAGCCUGACGCAGCAACGCCGCGUGGGGGAUGAAGGUUCUCGGAUUGUAAACCCCUUUCGACCGGAACGAAUCUCCUCCUGGUAAAUAAUCAGGAGGAUCGACGGUACCGGGAGAAGAAGCCACGGCUAACUCUGUGCCAGCAGCCGCGGUAAGACAGAGGUGGCGAGCGUUGUUCGGAUUUAUUGGGCGUAAAGCGUACGCAGGCGGUUUGGUAAGUCAGGGGUGAAAGACCACAGCUUAACUGUGGCACUGCCUUUGAUACUGCCUUUCUUGAGUAGAGUAGGGGGAAGCGGAAUUCCGAGUGUAGAGGUGAAAUUCGUAGAUAUUCGGAGGAACACCGGUGGCGAAGGCGGCUUCCUGGACUCUAACUGACGCUCAUGUACGAAAGCGUGGGUAGCAAACAGGAUUAGAAACCCCAGUAGUCC